CAGAGUGAAUAACCUAGUGAGGAGAGAUAGGGAGAUAGAGAGAGCAGAAGGUUGGAGAGACAGAGUGAAUAACCUAGUGAGGAGAGAUAGGGGGAUAGAGAGAGCAGAAGGUUGGAGAGUCAGAGUGAAUAACCUAGUGAGGAGAGAUAGGGGGAUAGAGAGAGCAGAAGGUUGGAGAGACAGAGUGAAUAACCUAGUGAGGAGAGAUAGGGGGAUAGAGAGAGCAGAAGGUUGGAGAGACAGAGUGAA